rnacentral:rRNA from 1 species
AGAGUUUGAUCCUGGCUCAGGAUGAACGCUGGCGGCGUGCCUAACACAUGCAAGUCGAGCGAUUCUCUUCGGAGAAGAGCGGCGGACGGGUGAGUAACGCGUGGGUAACCUGCCUCAUACACAUGGAUAACAUACCGAAAGGUAUGCUAAUACAAGAUGAUAUAAGAGAUUCGCAUGGAUUUCUUAUCAAAGCUCCGGCGGUAUGAGAUGGACCCGCGUCUGAUUAGCUAGUUGGUAAGGUAACGGCUUACCAAGGCAACGAUCAGUAGCCGACCUGAGAGGGUGAUCGGCCACAUUGGAACUGAGACACGGUCCAAACUCCUACGGGAGGCAGCAGUGGGGAAUAUUGCACAAUGGGCGAAAGCCUGAUGCAGCAACGCCGCGUGAGUGAUGAAGGCCUUCGGGUCGUAAAACUCUGUCCUCAAGGAAGAUAAUGACGGUACUUGAGGAGGAAGCCCCGGCUAACUACGUGCCAGCAGCCGCGGUAAUACGUAGGGGGCUAGCGUUAUCCGGAUUUACUGGGCGUAAAGGGUGCGUAGGUGGUUUCUUAAGUCAGGAGUGAAAGGCUACGGCUCAACCGUAGUAAGCUCUUGAAACUGGGAAACUUGAGUGCAGGAGAGGAAAGUGGAAUUCCUAGUGUAGCGGUGAAAUGCGUAGAUAUUAGGAGGAACACCAGUAGCGAAGGCGGCUUUCUGGACUGUAACUGACACUGAGGCACGAAAGCGUGGGGAGCAAACAGGAUUAGAUACCCUGGUAGUCCACGCCGUAAACGAUGAGUACUAGGUGUCGGGGGGUUACCCCCCUCGGUGCCGCAGCUAACGCAUUA